AGUAAAUAGAUACCCCGGUAGUCCACGCCGUAAACAAUGUCGACUUGGAGGUUGUGCCCUUGAGGCGUGGCUUCCGGAGCUAAACGCGUUAAAGUCGACCGCCUGGGGAGUACGGCCGCAAGGUUAAAACUCAAAUGAAUUGACGGGGCCCGCACAAGCGGUGGAGCAUGUGGUUUAAUUCGAUGCAACGCGAAGAACCUUACCUACUCUUGACAUCCAGAGAACUUAGCAGAGAUGCUUUGGUGCCUUCGGGAACUCUGAGACAGGUGCUGCAUGGCUGUCGUCAGCUCGUGUUGUGAAAUGUUGGGUUAAGUCCCGCAACGAGCGCAACCCUUAUCCUUUGUUGCCAGCGGUCCGGCCGGGAACUCAAAGGAGACUGCCAGUGAUAAACUGGAGGAAGGUGGGGAUGACGUCAAGUCAUCAUGGCCCUUACGAGUAGGGCUACACACGUGCUACAAUGGCGCAUACAAAGAGAAGCGACCUCGCGAGAGCAAGCGGACCUCAUAAAGUGCGUCGUAGUCCGG
rnacentral:rRNA from 1 species